rnacentral:rRNA from 1 species
CUGGAGUAUAAGCAAUUAUACAGCGAAACUGCGAAUGGCUCAUUAUAUAAGUUAUCGUUUAUUUGAUAGUACCUUACUACUUGGAUAACCGUGGUAAUUCUAGAGCUAAUACAUGCUGAAAAUCCCGACUUCGGAAGGGAUGUAUUUAUUAGAUUAAAAACCAAUGCCCUUCUGGGCUCUCUGGUGAUUCAUGAUAACUUCUCGAAUCGCACGGCCUCGCGCCGGCGAUGGUUCAUUCAAAUUUCUUCCCUAUCAACUUUCGAUGUUUGGGUAGUGGCCAAACAUGGUUGCAACGGGUAACGGAGGGUUAGGGCUCGACCCCGGAGAAGGAGCCUGAGAAACGGCUACUACAUCCAAGGAAGGCAGCAGGCGCGCAAAUUACCCAAUCCCGACACGGGGAGGUAGUGACAAUAAAUACUGAUACAGGGCUCUUUCGGGUCUUGUAAUUGGAAUGAGUACAAUUUAAAUCCCUUAACGAGGAACAAUUGGAGGGCAAGUCUGGUGAACGCAGCCGCGGUAAUUCCAGCUCCAAUAGCGUAUAUUAAAGUUGUUGUGGUUAAAAAGCUCGUAGUUGAACCUUGGGCCUGGCUGGCCGGUCCGCCUCACCGCGUGUACUGGUCCGGCCGGGCCUUUCCCUCUGUGGAACCCCAUGCCCUUCACUGGGCGUGGCGGGGAAACAGGACGUUUACUUUGAAAAAAUUAGAGUGCUCCAGGCAGGCCUAUGCUCGAAUACAUUAGCAUGGAAUAAUGAAAUAGGACGCGCGGUUCUAUUUUGUUGGUUUCUAGGACCGCCGUAAUGAUUAAUAGGGACAGUCGGGGGCAUCAGUAUUCAAUUGUCAGAGGUGAAAUUCUUGGAUUUAUUGAAGACUAACUACUGCGAAAGCAUUUGCCAAGGAUGUUUUCAUUAAUCAGGAACGAAAGUUAGGGGAUCGAAGACGAUCAGAUACCGUCGUAGUCUUAACCAUAAACUAUGCCGACUAGGGAUCGGACGAUGUUAUUUUUUGACUCGUUCGGCACCUUACGAGAAAUCAAAGUGCUUGGGCUCCAGGGGGAGUAUGGUCGCAAGGCUGAAACUUAAAGGAA